AAAAAAAAAACCCAUGUUUAAUUUUGAUUCAACCCAAUGUAUUCAUCGUCUUCUUCUUCAACUACUCCACAAAAGUUCGAUGUCUUUCUGAGUUUCAGAGGCAAGGACACUCGCAGGACCUUCAUCAGCUUUCUUUACAAAGAACUCAUUGGAAUGAGUAUUCGAACUUUCAAAGACGACGUCGAACUCAAGAGUGGCCGUCGGAUUGCUUCUGAUCUCCUCAUGGCUAUCGAAAAUUCCAAAAUCGCCGUUGUGAUUGUCUCAAAGAAUUAUCCUGCGUCUCCCUGGUGUCUCCAAGAGCUAGAGAUGAUCAUGGAUGUCGAAAAGAAGGGUUCCCUCAUCGUUAUGCCUAUCUUUUACAACGUCGAGCCUGCUCAUGUGAGGCGACAAAUCGAAAAGGUCGCUCAACAGUUUAGGAAACAUGAAAAUAGGGAAAAUUAUGAGACUGUGGUAUCAUGGAGACAAGCUCUGACCAAUUUGGCCAGUAUCUCCGGCCAUUGUUCUCGUGAUUGUGAAGAUGACUCCAAGCUACUCGACGAGAUCACCAAGAGAAUUACUGACAUGUUGUUAUUCUCUGCAACACCACCAAGUCAUAGCAUCAGUAACCAAUUUGGAUUUGAUGCACACAUGAAAGAGUUGUAUCCAUUGUUAGAAUUGACUUCUAAUGAAGGUGUGAGAGUGAUUGGAAUUUGGGCAAGAGGAGGUAAUGGAAGAUCAGCUCUAGCUAGAUAUGUUUAUCAAAAGAUCUUUAAGAAAUUCCAAAGUCAUUGUUUUCUCGAAAACGUCAAAGGGAUUCCUCACGAUUGUCAAAUGUCCAAUCUAAGAGACGAGUUUCUUAUCAGGAUUCAAGGAGGGUACUCGAAGAUGAAGACCUCAGGGUUGAUCAAAACAAGGCUCAUGAGUCAGAAAGUACUACUUGUAGCUAACAAUGUCGACAAACUCGAACAGUUGGAUGCUCUUUCAGAAGAUUUUAACUGUUUUGGUCCAGGUAGCCUAGUGAUCAUAACUACACAAGACAAACAACUUCUUCUUGCGUUUGGGAUAAAAGUUGUGUAUGAAGUUGAGUGCUUGAGAUGCUUUGAAGUUCGUCAACUGUUUCGUCAAAUCGGCUUUAGAGAGAGAGAUCUUUAUGUUGGUUCCGAGUUGUCUUCGCCUAUAUCAGGGACUGAAUCUUCUUGAAUCGUAACUCUGUUUCUGGUGCUGGAAUAACCCUUAGAACCACUGUAUAGAGUGUCUCUGUAAUUACCUCUUCAGAGAAUCCAGCUAUGUUAGUUCUUUGAAAGAGGACUAGUGGAGGAUAAUAACUUGCUGUCCAAGAAUCGAGGGCUUGUAUACUUCACUCUGUAGUUGCUCUGUUUUAGGAAUUUCUUGAUUCACAAGUAGUUUAUUCAAUUUAGAAAGUUAUUUUCUGUGCCUUUCUUUAUUUAUGUUUUUGAAAAUUUAAACGCUAAUGUGUAGAUAUCGACAGAGAAGCCAGAUCGAAGGGGAUAAAAUAGGGAGAUUUCUUUCAAACAAUCUAUGUGCGUAAUCAAUUGUGUAAACUCUUUAGGCAAUCUCUCUGGUUGCUUGCAGGAGAAGUUAUAAAGGAAUGAACCUGGGCCAUUCUCUUUCUUACAUUGGGGAAAUCUUGUUGUCUAUGUUAAUUAUUAUGUAAUAAAGAAGCCCAAUUCAGACAGUUGAAUAUGUGCGGGUGUUACCCAUCUUCCACGUUCCACCACCGGCCGGUUUUAUGCGGCUUGUCGUUAUAUCAUUUUUUCGUUGCUCACAUUGUCUCGUUUUUAUUUAUUUAUCUUCUAAAAUUCAAAACACCACGGCCAUGAAAGUUUUCUUACUUUUCUUUUUUUCUGGCAUUUCAUAAUCGUAAUAUUAAAGGAAGAGAUCAGUCACAACUCACACGCAUAUGCAAUGUUAUUCUAUUUGCUCCAUUCUAAACAUAUACGAUGAGAAAUGCUUUUUGUGCUGUAAAUUAUUAGUAUAUUUUCGUUGUCUAGUUUAAAGGAACUAUUUACUUAUCACGUAUUUGCAUUUAUCUAAACAAAUCCAAAAUUUUAUAUAUUCAAAUAACACUCUUUUAACAUUGCUUGAUCCUAUAAAUUAGCUAGUUUAGGUCAAGAUUUAAAAUGGAAAGCGACUAAGCAUCAGCUAGCUAUUUUGUUUAAUUGGAAAGGUAUUAUCAUCUAUCCUUGCUUCAAUACAAAGUAAAAUGUUUGGU